rnacentral:rRNA from 1 species
UGGGGAAUAUUGCACAAUGGGCGCAAGCCUGAUGCAGCCAUGCCGCGUGUGUGAAGAAGGCCUUCGGGUUGUAAAGCACUUUCAGCGAGGAGGAAGGUGGUGAGCUUAAUACGCUCAUCAAUUGACGUUACUCGCAGAAGAAGCACCGGCUAACUCCGUGCCAGCAGCCGCGGUAAUACGGAGGGUGCAAGCGUUAAUCGGAAUUACUGGGCGUAAAGCGCACGCAGGCGGUUUGUUAAGUCAGAUGUGAAAUCCCCGGGCUCAACCUGGGAACUGCAUUUGAAACUGGCAAGCUAGAGUCUCGUAGAGGGGGGUAGAAUUCCAGGUGUAGCGGUGAAAUGCGUAGAGAUCUGGAGGAAUACCGGUGGCGAAGGCGGCCCCCUGGACGAAGACUGACGCUCAGGUGCGAAAGCGUGGGGAGCAAAACAGGAUUAGAUACCCUGGUAGUCCAGCGCUGUAAACGAUGUCGAUUUUGGAGGUUGUGCCCUUGAGGCGUGGUUUCCGGAGCUAACGCGUUAAAUCGACCGCCUGGGGAGUACGGCCGCAAGGUUAAAACUCAAAUGAAUUGACGGGGUC